UUAUACCGUGAAACUGCGAAUGGCUCAUUAAAUCAGUUAUCGUUUAUUUGAUAGUACCUUACUACUUGGAUAACCGUGGUAAUUCUAGAGCUAAUACAUGCUGAAAACCCCGACUUCGGAAGGGGUGUAUUUAUUAGAUAAAAAGCCAAUGCCCUUCGGGGCUCUUUGGUGAUUCAUGAUAACUUCUCAGAUCGCAUGGCCUUGCGCCGGCGACGGUUCAUUCAAAUUUCUGCCCUAUCAACUUUCGAUGGUAAGGUAUUGGCUUACCAUGGUUUCAACGGGUAACGGGGAAUUAGGGUUCGAUUCCGGAGAGGGAGCCUGAGAAACGGCUACCACAUCCAAGGAAGGCAGCAGGCGCGCAAAUUACCCAAUCCCGACACGGGGAGGUAGUGACAAUAAAUACUGAUACAGGGCUCUUUUGGGUCUUGUAAUUGGAAUGAGUACAAUUUAAACCUCUUAACGAGGAACAAUUGGAGGGCAAGUCUGGUGCCAGCAGCCGCGGUAAUUCCAGCUCCAAUAGCGUAUAUUAAAGUUGUUGCAGUUAAAAAGCUCGUAGUUGAACCUUGGGCCUGGCUGGCAGGUCCGCCUCACCGCGUGUACUUGACCGGCCGGGCCUUCUCUUCUGGAGAACCUCAUGCCCUUUACUGGGCGUGUUGGGGACCAGGACUUUUACUUUGAAAAAAUUAGAGUGUUCAAAGCAGGCCUUUGCUCGAAUAUGUUAGCAUGGAAUAAUAGAAUAGGACGUGCGGUCCUAUUUUGUUGGUUUCUAGGACCGCCGUAAUGAUUAAUAGGGACAGUCGGGGGCAUCAGUAUUCAAUUGUCAGAGGUGAAAUUCUUGGAUUUAUUGAAGACUAACUACUGCGAAAGCAUUUGCCAAGGAUGUUUUCAUUAAUCAGUGAACGAAAGUUAGGGGAUCGAAGACGAUCAGAUACCGUCGUAGUCUUAACCAUAAACUAUGCCGACUAGGGAUCGGGCGAUGUUUCAAUAUUGACUCGCUCGGCACCUUACGAGAAAUCAAAGUG
rnacentral:rRNA from 1 species